GUCCCUGAACCGGUACAAUUAGCAUAACCUGGGAAUGGGUUAGACAUACAGAGUCUCAGACUGAAUCCAGACCUAUUGAAUCAGAAACUCAAGGGGCAGGGUUCUGCAGUCUGUAAUUUAACAAGCUCUCCAGCUGAUUCUGAUGCACGCUAAAGUUCGAGAGCUAUUUAAGCUGAAAGAACCCAAGUAGGGAUUUAUGACCUUUGCCUGCUUUUCAGUUGGGAAUAAAAAUAAAACCCAAAACACUAUACUGCAUAUUUAUUUUAUAAUUCAUAUUUUAAAGGAAUAUAUAAUUUAUAUCUUCACAGUACAUGCCAGUUCCUCAUACUCAACUUCAUGAAUACAAGUUCAAGAAGGCAGAAAUUUUGUUUUAUUAACUGAAAUAUCCAUAAUAUUUAGAACAAUGCUGACUUAAACAUAUGUACUGAUUAGCCCUGAGCUAACAUCUGCUUCCAAUCAUCCUCUUUUUGCUGAGGGAGACUGGCCUUGAGCUAAUAUCUGUAACAUCCAUCUUCUGCUACUUGAUAUGUGGGAUGCCUGCCACAGAAUGGCUUGCCAAGUGGUUGGUAGGUCCACACCCAGCAUCUGAACUGGCAAACCCCA
rnacentral:lncRNA from 1 species